GCUGGACCACUUUCUGUUUACAGGUAUUAAUGCCACCUGCUGGAUGUUCAGGUUCCUACAGCUUUGAGUUACCUUUCCUGUUAGGCAGGAAGUUGUCAUAAACCAGGAAGCCCAGCUCAGGGACAGUACCGCAUGGUGCAGACUGUAAUUCUAGUGUGUAAUUUACUGCCAUCCCACUGCACCAGUUUGUUAGACGCAUUGUCUAUCACCUGCAGUUUGCAGAAUGGCUGAUGGGAUUGGAGUAGGAAAAUCCUAGGACAAGUAAUAACAAAGUUAAAUGGGGAGAUGCAGUCAAUGACAAAAGAGAGAAGUUGUCGCAGAAAGUAAACAUGGGAAUAAUUUGCUGGAACCCUCAAACUUGGAUUGGGAAUAUUUGAUGCACGCAAAAUACAUUCACUGAAUAUUUGGAUUGAAACAAUCUUUUUUAACUCUUUUCAACGUUUUGGUGGAAUGCUGUUGUUUCAUAUUUUGGAGCUAUAACAAAAGUCAUUGCUGGGCACGCGAGAUGUGGCUGCAAUGGUGCAGGCAAUGCUUCGAUGGUUGAAGCAUUAGACUAAAUAGUGGAAGCCUUUUGCAUGCCUCUCACCUGAACAAAAAUCUCACCUUGCUUCAUCUUGGUUGACUCCUACAGAUUUUGGAUUAGAGUCUUUCUCAGUUCCCCUCGUAAAGGGAUUUGCCUCAGUGCAAAAGACAGAUUUGGUUCUCUGACACGUUGUGUCUUUUAGGAACAAAUCUCUGCAGUUUGAAUAAUUACCCAGUAUUUUAAACUAUCAUCAGUCUGCUGUCUGUCUGGUCCAUAUAUAAACUAUAAACUCAUUAUGUUACAGCCAUAAAUUCUCAAAGAGUCAAGGCCUGAUGUCCAAGGUACAUUUUUAACAAACAUGAGUUGGCAGAAUUAACCUCUGCUUUAGGCAUCAGCAAACUGCAGAUUAGUUAAUACUGUAGAUUGAUUAAUACUGCAGCUAUCCUAUGUGACAAUAUGGAAUGGAGGAAAUGCAUAAAACUCCAUGUUUAAGUGUGAUAAUCAAUGAAGCUUCUGCAAUGGAAGUCCUAAUCCAUGAAAUUUCACAACUGCACAUUUGGACGUUUUGCCUGCAAAAUCAUCCCCAAACUGCAGCAACGAUAAUGUGCCAAUCCUACCACCAGUCCGACUGAUAUUGAGCACAAUACAUAUGAAUCUGAUGUAAUUUUAACAACAAAAAUGUGCAUUUCUACAACACCCUGCCUGUUCAGUGCUUUGGCAAUUCAUUUUCCACCUCCUCAUAACCUAAAUUGUGCAGAAAUGUUGGCCAAAGCUUUUUGAGAGCAUAUCGCCAUCCACACAAUGCUGAGAACCACUGAAGAUUUUCCCUUAGCCUGCGUGCAAAUGGUGAUAUAAACUUGCUGAGGGUUUACCUGGCAAAGUCCUUUUAUAUGUGGGAGGCCAAAACAAACCCCAUCAAUAUACGAACAGUCAGCAAAGCCAUUUCUGUAACAGUUAUCGUUCAUCGAGUCCUUGAAUGUGCUUCAUAGCUAAAGGAUUUGAGUAUAGGAGCAUUCAUAGCAAAAGGAUUUGAGUAUAGGAGCAGGGAGGUUCUACUGCAGUUGUACAGGGUCUUGGUGAGACCACACCUGGAGUAUUGCGUACAGUUUUGGACUCCAAAUCUGCGAAAAUACAUCCUUGCCAUAGAGGGAGUACAGAGAAGGUUCACCAGACUGAUUCCUGGGAUGUCAGGACUUUCAUAUGAAGAAAGACUGGAUAGACUUGGCUUGUACUCGCUAGAAUUUAGAUAUUUGAGGGGGGAUCUUACAGAAACUUACAAAAUUCUUAAGGGGUUGGACAGGCUAGAUGCAGGAAGAUUGUUCCCGAUGUUGGGGAUGUCCAGAACAAGGGGUCACAGUUUAAGGAUAAGGAGGAAAUCUUUUAGGACCAAGAUAAGAAAAACAUUUUUCACACAGAGAGUGGUGAAUCUCUGGAAUUCUCUGCAACAGAAGGUAGUUGAGGCCAGUUCAUUGGCUAUAUUUAAGAGGGAGUUAGAUGUGGCCCUUGUGGCUAAAGGGGUCAGGGGGAAUGGAGAGAAGGCAGGUACAGGAUACUGAGUGGGAUGAUCAGCCAUGA